rnacentral:rRNA from 1 species
UUUAUUUGAUAGUACCUUACUACAUGGAUACCUGUGGUAAUUCUAGAGCUAAUACAUGCUAAAAACCCCGACUUCAGGAAGGGGUGUAUUUAUUAGAUAAAAAACCAACGCCCUUCGGGGCUCCUUGGUGAAUCAUAAUAACUUAACGAAUCGCAUGGCCUUGCGCCGGCGAUGGUUCAUUCAAAUUUCUGCCCUAUCAACUUUCGAUGGUAGGAUAGUGGCCUACCAUGGUGGCAACGGGUAACGGGGAAUUAGGGUUCGAUUCCGGAGAGGGAGCCUGAGAAACGGCUACCACAUCCAAGGAAGGCAGCAGGCGCGCAAAUUACCCAAUCCCGAUACGGGGAGGUAGUGACAAUAAAUACUGAUACGGGGCUCUUUUGGGUCUCGUAAUUGGAAUGAGAACAAUUUAAAUCCCUUAACGAGGAACAAUUGGAGGGCAAGUCUGGUGCCAGCAGCCGCGGUAAUUCCAGCUCCAAUAGCGUAUAUUAAAGUUGUUGCAGUUAAAAAGCUCGUAGUUGAACCUUGGGUCUGGCUGGUCGGUCCGCCUCACCGCGAGUACUGAUCCGGCUGGACCUUUCCUUCUGGGGAACCUCAUGGCCUUCACUGGCUGUGGGGGGAACCAGGACUUUUACUGUGAAAAAAUUAGAGUGUUCAAAGCAGGCCUUUGCUCGAAUACAUUAGCAUGGAAUAAUAGAAUAGGACGUGCGGUUCUAUUUUGUUGGUUUCUAGGACCGCCGUAAUGAUUAAUAGGGAUAGUCGGGGGCGUCAGUAUUCAGCUGUCAGAGGUGAAAUUCUUGGAUUUGCUGAAGACUAACUACUGCGAAAGCAUUCGCCAAGGAUGUUUUCAUUAAUCAGGGAACGAAAGUUAGGGGAUCGAAGACGAUCAGAUACCGUCGUAGUCUUAACCAUAAACUAUGCCGACUAGGGAUCGGACGGGAUUCUAUAAUGACCCGUUCGGCACCUUAC